AAACCCCCUCGCCGAAAGACUAAGGUUUCCUGAUCAACGCUAAUCGGAUCAGGGUUAGUCGGGUCCUAAGGCUCAGCCGAACGGUGAUGCCGAUGGCAGAACAGGUUAAUAUUCCUGUACUACCUUUAGGAGUGACGUGGAGACGGAGGCGUGACAGCGCCGCGAACUGACGGAAUAGUUCGUUGAAGGGUGUAGAUGUUGAUUGCGGCAGGCAAAUCCACCGCAAGAGUCGAACCUGAUAGUAUGGAGCGUUCUUCUGAACAAUCCAAUAGUGCGUGUAAACAUACUCCCAAGAAAAUCCGCUAAACUUAAUCUUAAAGGUACCCGUACCGUAAACGGACACACGUAGUCGGGUUGAAUAUACUAAGGCGCUUGAGUGAAUCACGGUUAAGGAACUAGGCAAAUUGACCCUGUAACUUCGGGAUAAAGGGUCCCCGUCAGUGAUGGCGGGGCGCAGAGAAUAGGUCCAGGCAACUGUUUAACAAAAACACAGGGCUGUGCAAAAUUGAAAGAUCACGUAUACAGCCUGACACCUGCCCGGUGCUGGAAGGUUAAGAGGAGAUGUCAUCGCAAGAGAAGCAUUGAAUUGAAGCCCCAGUAAACGGCGGCCGUAACUAUAACGGUCCUAAGGUAGCGAAAUUCCUUGUCGGGUAAGUUCCGACCUGCACGAAUGGUGUAAUGAUCUGGACGCUGUCUCAACCGUGAGCUCAGUGAAAUUGUAGUAUCGGUGAAGAUGCCGAUUACCCGCGAUGGGACGAAAAGACCCCGUGAACCUUUACUAUAGCUUAACAUUGAAUUUGGGUAAUUGAUGUGUAGGAUAGGCCGGAGACUUUGAAGCAGGUACGCCAGUAUUUGUGGAGUCGCUGUUGAAAUACGGCCCUUUGAUUAUUUGAGUUCUAACUCGUUGUUACGAGGACACUGUUUGGUGGGUAGUUUGACUGGGGUGGUCGCCUCCAAAAGUGUAACGGAGGCUUCUAAAGGUGCCCUCACGCCGAUUGGUAACCGGCGGUAGAGUGUAAUGGCAUAAGGGCGCUUGACUGGGAGACUAACAAGUCGAUCAGGUA
rnacentral:rRNA from 1 species